GCGAAAGUGGCGGAACUGGUAGACGCGCCAGACUUAGGAUCUGGUGCCCGCAAGGCGUGGGGGUUCGAGUCCCCCCUUUCGCA
rnacentral:tRNA from 1 species